GGGAAGCAGAGCUGCUCCAGGAAGGGCUCUGCGGAGGGGGCACGGCGCUGGGCAUUCCUCCCGAGCAUCCCCGGCGGCGAGCACGCAGGGCUGGCACGAGAGCUGUGUUUGUGAAGGGAAAUGGUUGGGAUAAAUCACAGCAAGGGAAGUCGGGCCGGCCUGGCCAGGCUCCAGGGUUAAAAUUAGCACCAGCGUGCGGGCCGGCGUUGGGAUAACGGCGGUGCUGGGAAGGCAGCGCGCUGCGCUCGGCCGUCCUUGACCCCCUCAUCCCUCCCCACAGGGACAGCAUGACAGCCUCAAGGAGGGAUGUGCUUCCUCCUGCAUCCCAUUCUCAUCCCACCCCAUCUCCAGGCUGUCCUAUCCCCAUCCUAUCCCGUGUCACCCCAUCCUCAUCCCACCCCAUCUGCAGCCUACCCUGGUCCCGUACUUCCCUGUCCCCAUGCUUCCUUGGCUCCAUCCUUCUCUGUUCCCAUCCCAUCUCAUCCCUAUUCUACCUUGUCCCCAUCCUAUCUUGGCGUCAUCCCAUUCCAACCCUACCAAAAUUCAUCCCAACCCUACUCUGUUCCUAUGCUUUCCCAUCCACUUCCUAUCUUGACUCCCUCCUCCCUUCUCCCCAUCCCACCCUGGUCCCAUCUCUCUUCUACCCCAUGCCCACCAUACCUUGGCUGCAUCCCACUCCACAUACACCUCGCCUCAUCCCCACCCCUGCCCCGAUCCCAUGCCAUUUCCUUUUGGGGUCCCCAUCGCAAGCCAUCCCCCCCAUUGAGAUCCAGAUGCUGGGGAGUCUGGUGGGGGCUUUGCAGGCUCACCGUGGGGCUGGGUGGGCGCAGGGACAGACCCCGCCACCACCAUCACCGGGUUUGUGGACGGGAGAUCGCAAACUUGAUCUUGGGAAGACCCCAAACAAGCCUUCAAAGUAGGGAGGAGAACACAACAGAGAAUGCCCACAGCUCCGGGUCCCUAUUCCUGCCUCUCUUUGGCCUGAAGGCUGUCGGAGGAGAACACUGCAGCACUUGCCAAGCCCAGGCAGGACGCACUGGCAGUGCGUGCGGUGAGAUGGUGAUGUCCCCGUGCCACCGGCAGCACUGCCAGGGCCAAGGAACCCGCCGGGCCGGUUGGCAGGGAUGGGUUUGGCAGCACCGCACUGUGCCGGGAGCGCCCAUGUGCAGGGAGCAGGAGCAGGCAGAUGCAUGUGAGGCACAGCGUGCCAGCUGGGGCUCAGCAGCACCUCGUCGUCCCUGUGUGCCUCGCAUAUUUUGGGAGCAUGGCAGGGCAUUGAGCCUGCUGGACGUGGAGGUGUGUGGCUCUUUCUGGGUGUGUUGUUGCACAGAGCUCAGGCCCAUUGCUGCCUGCUGGCUGUGA
rnacentral:lncRNA from 1 species